rnacentral:rRNA from 1 species
AAAGAGACUGCCGGUGUUAAACCGGAGGAAGUGGGAUGACGUCAAGUCCUCAUGGCCUUUAUGCUUAGGGCUACACACGUGCUACAAUGGGUGGUACAAAGAGAAGCCAACUCGCGAGAGCGCGCCAAUCUCAAAAAGCCAUCCUCAGUUCGGAUUGGAGUCUGCAACUCGACUUCAUGAAGUUGGAAUCGCUAGUAAUCGCGGAUCAGCAUGCCGCGGUGAAUACGUUCCCGGGCCUU